rfam:Ornithorhynchus anatinus chromosome 1, whole genome shotgun sequence.
CCCCUCUUGGGGUCGCAACUGGAGAGUUUCCAAUACUCUACCAGACUCGACUGCGGGAGGGAGAGUCAAGCAGAGGCACAUCCAUGCCAUUCCUAGCUUAAGCAGUGGCUUGCGAGUGGAAGGCAAUAUGCUACAAGU